rnacentral:rRNA from 1 species
GACGAACGCUGGCGGCGUGCUUAACACAUGCAAGUCGAACGGAAAGGCCCCUUUGGGGGUACUCGAGUGGCGAACGGGUGAGUAACACGUGAGUAACCUGCCCUUGACUUCGGGAUAACUUCAGGAAACUGGGGCUAAUACCGGAUAGGAAUCCUUGCUGCAUGGUGGGGGUUGGAAAGCUUCGGCGGUUUUGGAUGGACUCGCGGCUUAUCAGCUUGUUGGUGGGGUAGUGGCUUACCAAGGCUUUGACGGGUAGCCGGCCUGAGAGGGCGACCGGCCACAUUGGGACUGAGAUACGGCCCAGCCUCCUACGGGAGGCAGCAGUGGGGAAUAUUGCACAAUGGGCGGAAGCCUGAUGCAGCAACGCCGCGUGCGGGAUGACGGCCUUCGGGUUGUAAACCGCUUUCAGCAGGGGCGAAGCUUGUGGUGACGGUACCUGCAGAAGAAGCACCGGCUAACUACGUG